rnacentral:rRNA from 1 species
GAGUUUGAUCCUGGCUCAGGACGAACGCUGACGGUGUGCUUUAGGCAUGCAAGUCGAACGAGAAAGCCCUUCGGGGUGAGUAGAGUGGCGAACGGGUGAGUAACACGUGGGCAACCUGCCCCUCGCAGGGGGAUAACCGGAGGAAACUCCGGCUAAUACCCCGUAAGCUUUCAGGGUCGCAUGGCCCUGUAAGGAAAGGUAGCUUCGGCCAUCCGGCGAGGGAUGGGCCCGCGGUGCAUUAGCUAGUUGGUGGGGUAAAGGCCCACCAAGGCGACGAUGCGUAGCUGGUCUGAGAGGAUGAUCAGCCACACUGGGACUGAGACACGGCCCAGACUCCUACGGGAGGCAGCAGCCAGGAAUCUUGGGCAAUGGGCGCAAGCCUGACCCAGCAACACCGUGUGGGCGAUGAAGGCCUUCGGGUCGUAAAGCCCUGUUGAUAGGGACGAAGGGCGAAGGGUUAAUAGCCCCUAGCCUGACGGUACCUAUCGAGGAAGCCCCGGCUAACUACGUGCCAGCAGCCGCGGUAAUACGUAGGGGGCGAGCGUUGUCCGGAAUUAUUGGGCGUAAAGAGCGUGUAGGCGGUUCGGUAAGUCUGCCGUGAAAACCUGAGGCUCAACCCCGGGCGUGCGGUGGAUACUGCCGAGCUAGAGGACGGUAGAGGCGAGUGGAAUUCCCGGUGUAGCGGUGAAAUGCGCAGAUAUCGGGAGGAACACCAGUAGCGAAGGCGGCUCGCUGGGCCGUUCCUGACGCUGAGACGCGAAAGCUAGGGGAGCGAACAGGAUUAGAUACCCCCGUAGUCC